rnacentral:rRNA from 1 species
AUUGAACGCUGGCGGCAUGCCUUACACAUGCAAGUCGAACGGUAACAGGUCUUCGGAUGCUGACGAGUGGCGAACGGGUGAGUAAUACAUCGGAACGUGCCUAGUAGUGGGGGAUAACUACUCGAAAGAGUGGCUAAUACCGCAUGAGAUCUACGGAUGAAAGCAGGGGAUCGCAAGACCUUGUGCUACUAGAGCGGCCGAUGGCAGAUUAGGUAGUUGGCGGGAUAAAAGCUUACCAAGCCGACGAUCUGUAGCUGGUCUGAGAGGACGAUGAGCCACACUGGGACUGAGACACGGCCCAGACUCCUACGGGAGGCAGCAGUGGGGAAUUUUGGACAAUGGGCGAAAGCCUGAUCCAGCAAUGCCGCGUGCAGGAUGAAGGCCUUCGGGUUGUAAACUGCUUUUGUACGGAACGAAAAGCCCCGGGUUAAUACCCUGGGGUCAUGACGGUACCGUAAGAAUAAGCACCGGCUAACUACGUGCCAACCGCCGCCGUAA